rnacentral:rRNA from 1 species
CAGCGCCACAAGUGGCAAUCACGUUUAUUGGGCCUAAAGCGUCCGUAGCCGGUUUAGCAAAUCUUUUGUGAAAUCGUCAGGCUUAACUUGACGAAUUGCAGAAGACACUACUAAACUAGGGACUGGGAGGAGUCAGAAGUAUUCUGGGGGGACCGGUAAAAUGGUAUAAUCCCCAGAGGACUACCGAUGGCGAAGGCAUCUGACCAGAACAGAUCCGACGGUGAGGGACGAAAGCCAGGGGAGCGAACCGGAUUAGAUACCCGCGUAGUCC